GGAUGCUCGUGGUGGCAGAACUAGACUUGACGCUGGAUAAGGUCGCAAAUUAGCUAAACCUGAAGAGGCUGGCGAGAGCGAACCCGAAGACUCGGAGGAGACAACGUCUUAUAUGUCUUAGUGUAGCUUUUGCAUUUGUUGCUUUUUGUUUCUUCUUAUAAGACAUAUACUAGUAGGAACUUUCAAAAUGAUUGUGAACAUUUAAUU
rnacentral:lncRNA from 1 species